rnacentral:rRNA from 1 species
UACGAAGGGGGCGAGCGUUGUUCGGAAUUACUGGGCGUAAAGGGCGCGCAGGCGGCUCUGAAAGUCAGAUGUGAAAGCCCCGGGCUUAACCUGGGAAUUGCAUUUGAUACUCUGGAGCUUGAGUGCGGGAGAGGAGAGUGGAAUUCCCAGUGUAGAGGUGAAAUUCGUAGAUAUUGGGAAGAACACCGGUGGCGAAGGCGGCUCUCUGGACCACAACUGACGCUGAGGCGCGAAAGCGGUGGGGAGCAAACAGG